rnacentral:rRNA from 1 species
GACGAACGCUGGCGGCGUGCUUAACACAUGCAAGUCGAACGGAAAGGCCCUGCUUUUGUGGGGUGCUCGAGUGGCGAACGGGUGAGUAACACGUGAGUAACCUGCCCUUGACUUUGGGAUAACUUCAGGAAACUGGGGCUAAUACCGGAUAGGAGCUCCUGCUGCAUGGUGGGGGUUGGAAAGUUUCGGCGGUUGGGGAUGGACUCGCGGCUUAUCAGCUUGUUGGUGGGGUAGUGGCUUACCAAGGCUUUGACGGGUAGCCGGCCUGAGAGGGUGACCGGCCACAUUGGGACUGAGAUACGGCCCAGACUCCUACGGGAGGCAGCAGUGGGGAAUAUUGCACAAUGGGCGGAAGCCUGAUGCAGCAACGCCGCGUGCGGGAUGACGGCCUUCGGGUUGUAAACCGCUUUCGCCUGUGACGAAGCGUGAGUGACGGUAAUGGGUAAAGAAGCACCGGCUAACUACGUGCCAGCAGCCGCGGUGAUACGUAGGGUGCGAGCGUUGUCCGGAUUUAUUGGGCGUAAAGGGCUCGUAGGUGGUUGAUCGCGUCGGAAGUGUAAUCUUGGGGCUUAACCCUGAGCGUGCUUUCGAUACGGGUUGACUUGAGGAAGGUAGGGGAGAAUGGAAUUCCUGGUGGAGCGGUGGAAUGCGCAGAUAUCAGGAGGAACACCAGUGGCGAAGGCGGUUCUCUGGGCCUUUCCUGACGCUGAGGAGCGAAAGCGUGGGGAGCGAACAGGCUUAGAUACCCUGGUAGUCCACGCUGUAAACGGUGGGUACUAGGUGUGGGGUCCAUUCCACGGGUUCCGUGCCGUAGCUAACGCUUUAAGUACCCCGCCUGGGGAGUACGGCCGCAAGGCUAAAACUCAAAGGAAUUGACGGGGCCCCGCACAAGCGGCGGAGCAUGCGGAUUAAUUCGAUGCAACGCGUACAACCUUACCUGGGUUUGACAUGGAUCGGGAGCGCUCAGAGAUGGGUGUGCCUCUUUUGCGGGCCGGUCACAGGGGGGUGCAUGGCUGUCGUCAGCUCGUGGUCGGAGAUGUUGGGUUAAGUCCCGCCACCAGGCGCCACCCCUGGUUCCCUGUUGCCAGCACGUUAUGGGGGGGGACUUCAUGGAAAACGCCGGGGUCAACUUCGAAGAAAGUGGGGAUGAACUCCAAGUCACCCUGCCCUUUAUGUCCGGGGGUUUCCGCCUGGUAACAAUGGUUGGGACCAAAAAGGGCCCAACCCGUGCAGGGUGAACAAAUCUUCCCAAAGCCCGCCCCCAUUUGGAAUUGGGGUCUGGGACUUCGACCUCAUGGAAGUCGGGAGUCCUAAUGAACCCGAAAUUAGCAACGCUUGGGGGGAAUACAUUUCCCCGGGGUU